rnacentral:rRNA from 1 species
UACGGAGGGUGCAAGCGUUAUCCGGAUUCACUGGGUUUAAAGGGAGCGUAGGUGGGUUGGUAAGUCAGUGGUGAAAUCCCGAAGCUUAACUUCGGAACUGCCAUUGAUACUAUCGAUCUUGAAUACUGUGGAGGUAAGCGGAAUAUGUCAUGUAGCGGUGAAAUGCUUAGAUAUGACAUAGAACACCGAUAGCGAAGGCAGCUUACUACGCAGUUAUUGACACUGAGGCUCGAAAGCGUGGGGAUCAAACAGG